CAAGUACUCCCUCCGUCCGGAAUUACUUGUCAUCAAAAUGGAUGUGUCUAGAACUAAAAUACAUCUAGAUACAUCCAUUUCAAUGAUAAGUAUUUUCGGGCGAAAGGAGUACAAG
rfam:Triticum aestivum genome assembly, contig: Triticum_aestivum_CS42_TGACv1_scaffold_499452_6BL